AGGGCGACGAUCAGUAGCUGGUCUGAGAGGAUGAUCAGCCACAUUGGGACUGAGACACGGCCCAAACUCCUACGGGAGGCAGCAGUGGGGAAUCUUGCGCAAUGGGCGAAAGCCUGACGCAGCCAUGCCGCGUGAAUGAUGAAGGUCUUAGGAUUGUAAAAUUCUUUCACCGGGGACGAUAAUGACGGUACCCGGAGAAGAAGCCCCGGCUAACUUCGUGCCAGCAGCCGCGGUAAUACGAAGGGGGCUAGCGUUGCUCGGAAUUACUGGGCGUAAAGGGAGCGUAGGCGGACAUUUAAGUCAGGGGUGAAAUCCCGGGGCUCAACCUCGGAAUUGCCUUUGAUACUGGGUGUCUUGAGUAUGAGAGAGGUGUGUGGAACUCCGAGUGUAGAGGUGAAAUUCGUAGAUAUUCGGAAGAACACCAGUGGCGAAGGCGACACACUGGCUCAUUACUGACGCUGAGGCUCGAAAGCGUGGGGAGCAAACAGGAUUAGAUACCCUGGUAGUCCACGCCGUAAACGAUGAUUGCUAGUUGUCGGGAUGCAUGCAUUUCGGUGACGCAGCUAACGC
rnacentral:rRNA from 1 species